CCUGGCGGCUGUAGCGCGGUGGUCCCACCUGACCCCAUGCCGAACUCAGAAGUGAAACGCCGUAGCGCCGAUGGUAGUGUGGGGCCUCCCCAUGCGAG
rnacentral:rRNA from 1 species